UACGGGGGGGCAAGCGUUGUUCGGAAUUACUGGGCGUAAAGGCGCGUAGGCGGCCAGCACAAGUCAGUUGUGAAAUCUCCGAGCUUAACUCGGAAAGGUCAACUGAUACUGUGCGGCUAGAGUGCGGAAGGGGCAACUGAAAUUCUUGGUGUAGCGGUGAAAUGCGUAGAUAUCAAGAGGAACACCUGCGGCGAAGGCGGGUUGCUGGGCCGGACACUGACGCUGAGGCGCGAAAGCCCAGGGGAGCGAACGGG
rnacentral:rRNA from 1 species